rnacentral:rRNA from 1 species
UGGGGAAUAUUGCACAAUGGGCGCAAGCCUGAUGCAGCCAUGCCGCGUGUAUGAAGAAGGCCUUCGGGUUGUAAAGUACUUUCAGCGGGGAGGAAGGUGUUGAGGCUAAUAACCUAAGCAAUUGACGUUACCCGCAGAAGAAGCACCGGCUAACUCCGUGCCAGCAGCCGCGGUAAUACGGAGGGUGCAAGCGUUAAUCGGAAUUACUGGGCGUAAAGCGCACGCAGGCGGUCUGUCAAGUCGGAUGUGAAAUCCCCGGGCUCAACCUGGGAACUGCAUUCGAAACUGGCAGGCUAGAGUCUUGUAGAGGGGGGUAGAAUUCCAGGUGUAGCGGUGAAAUGCGUAGAGAUCUGGAGGAAUACCGGUGGCGAAGGCGGCCCCCUGGACAAAGACUGACGCUCAGGUGCGAAAGCGUGGGGAGCAAACA